AGUGGCGCACGGGUGCGUAACGCGUGGGAAUCUGCCCUUGGGUUCGGAAUAACAGUUAGAAAUGACUGCUAAUACCGGAUGAUGUCUUCGGACCAAAGAUUUAUCGCCCAAGGAUGAGCCCGCGUAGGAUUAGGUAGUUGGUGGGGUAAAGGCCUACCAAGCCGACGAUCCUUAGCUGGUCUGAGAGGAUGAUCAGCCACACUGGGACUGAGACACGGCCCAGACUCCUACGGGAGGCAGCAGUGGGGAAUAUUGGACAAUGGGGGCAACCCUGAUCCAGCAAUGCCGCGUGAGUGAUGAAGGCCUUAGGGUCGUAAAGCUCUUUUACCAGGGAUGAUAAUGACAGUACCUGGAGAAUAAGCUCCGGCUAACUCCGUGCCAGCAGCCGCGGUAAUACGGAGGGAGCUAGCGUUGUUCGGAAUUACUGGGCGUAAAGCGCACGUAGGCGGUUAUUCAAGUCAGAGGUGAAAGCCCGGGGCUCAACCCCGGAACUGCCUUUGAAACUAGAUGACUGGAAUCUUGGAGAGGUCAGUGGAAUUCCGAGUGUAGAGGUGAAAUUCGUAGAUAUUCGGAAGAACACCAGUGGCGAAGGCGACUGACUGGACAAGUAUUGACGCUGAGGUGCGAAAGCGUGGGGAGCGAACAGGAUUAGAUACCCUGGUAGUCCACGCCGUAAACGAUGAUAACUAGCUGUCCGGAC
rnacentral:rRNA from 1 species